AGAGAUUCCUAUCCAAUGCUGCUUGUAGCAAAUAAAGUUGAUUUGGUUCAUUUGCGUAAAGUUCCUGAAGAACAUGGAAAAGAAUUGGCUCUUAGCUUAAAGAUUCCUUAUAUAGAGACAAGUGCUAAAGAUCCUCCUCUUAAUGUUGAUGCGGCUUUUCAUGAGGUUGUGCGGAUUAUUCGAAAUCAACCCCCAUUAGCAGACAAAAGAAGACGUCGCUUUUGGAUGAGGAGAGGAAAUCGUUGUAUUAUUAUUUAGCAUUUAAUGAAACAAUUUUUUUACUAUAUAUAUGUGUUUGCAAAAUGAUGGUUUUUUUUUUUUUUUUUUCAAGUAUUUAACUCAUUGUUUUAUAUGAGAUUUGUUACUAAAAGUAAAUUUGUUUAUAGUUGAUUUAUGGCUCUCACAACUUUACCUAAUGUUAUCAUAUAUGCCCUAAACAAUUGUUGCAUGUUUUAUUUUAAUUUUGGUGCAAAGCGUUGUAAAAUAUCAUUCCAUGGCAUUUGCAUCUUCUCUGAAACCCAGAUAACUAUCACAUGUUAAUAAUUAGUUUCAAAAUUUGAUAUUCUGGAAAAGUUUUGCUUGCCUAGUCAAAAAUAUAUUUUGUGUAUAUUCACUGAAAGUAUGAACAAGUUAACAAGUAGCAAUAUGGAAUAGAUGAAAGCAAGAAAAAUCAAGUAUUAUUUAUUUAAAAUAAAAUAUAGUGGUAAUCUAGUCAAAUGCGAACAAUAAUCAAUGUUUUUUCAGGUCUAAAUUACAAUGUAAAAUCACUUUGUUUUGGGUGGGGAGGGGGGGAGGGGCUUUUUAUAGGGCUUUAAUUAAGUUUUACUGCCUUGAAAAAAAACUUAAAAUCUACACUCACAAAGUAUGUACCAUAAAACUAAUGUGUACUAUUAUUAUUAUUUUUCUUUAAUAGAUUGAUCACAAUUGUUCAGUUGUGGUACAACUAGCAGUUCACUGUACGCGAUGUUGCUUAUAAUGUAUAUGAUACGGACAUGCUUACCUACAGAAAUGAAAAAGCAUAAAAUAUUGUAUUGCCAUAAUUCACUUCACUUCCAGUUUUGCAAUUGAUCUUAUUGCCAUGCAGAUUGCCGAAAAAUAAUCUCUCUUAUGAUUCUGGCUAGAAUGAGUUACGUAUAAAUAUGAAUAGUUCCUUUGCAUUUUCACUCGUCUUACAAUUAUUUUAUAUGUACAAAUGUAACCCACUCUCCUUCAGAAUUGGACUUGAAAGCAAAGUUAAUUAUAGUUUAAUAAAAAUGCGCUAAAAAGUCUUAAAAGAGAGAAGUUUAUGGUGACAUAUUUGAAGAAGAAAACCAUUGUUAUUUAAUAAUUAUGAAUUUUAUUGUUUAUGAAUUACAAACAAUGUAUAAAAUAAAUAAAAGCAAAGUUAGCUAAAAAAAAAAAAUAGCUAACUAUUAUAUAGCUGCUAUUAUGAUAAAUAAAUUCUCGUUUAAUCCUGAUUCAGCUGGUAAAAUUAAAAGUAUUUUUCCCCUCUUCAAAAAUCUAGAUAGUUAUCAAUAUUUAAUGAAAAAACAGAAGUGUCCAGCUAAAAAAUAAAAUGAAUUAAUGACUGCUCAUUUAACUUUGACAUAUUCAAAAAUAAAAGAGAGUUAAAACGAAAAUCAGUUUUCAUCUGACACAUUUUUUGAGGGAUCAGUUAUUGCAAAAAGACACUGUAAUAAAGGGUAGAUGAAUAUUGUUUCUCAGUAAUUCAAAAAGUAAUCUUAUUUAUUUUUACACCUUGAAUUUUGCACUAAAUUUAGAACAGCUGAUUGAACAUGCUCCAUUAUCUUUUUCUAAUCAGCAAUAAAAAAAUGAUAAUAAUAAAUUCCUGAAUGGCUGCCGAAUGCAGUUGACAAUUCUUCUUACAGUCACGUCUCAGCAACAGCUAAGCCCUUUUAAUCUUACCGAAUGCUGAAGAAAUAAAAUUAGCCAAAAUUUCUAAACCACCUCUCCAAACAAUCACUAAUGGUCACUGGGAAACAGUGCUACCAUUCAAUGAAUUGCCAUAUUCUUAGAAGAAAAGUCAACCAAAAAUGAAGAAAAAAUUGUUUUAUAGUUUUUUUACUUGGGAAGACAGACUUCAGAAAAGAAUAAUGGUUUUUUCUUCAGGGAGCAUUCUAUCUCUGUCUCAUCUCAAAAUAGAGCUUUUCUCUAGCUUUUUUUUUUUUAAUAUUAAAAUGUAUCUUGCGAAUCAGAACACGUAUAAAAUUAAAUUUAUUUAUAUUUUCUUUCAUUAUUUUAUUUUUUCGAGAAAACUUGUGAAAGCACAAAAAAGGGAAUACAAUCACACUAAGUUUUGUUAGUUCAAAAGCAGAAUCAAGAGAAAAAAUUGAAAAUAUUUUAAAGGGCCUUGCUUGCUAAAACCAAUUACAAGUAUUUUAUUUGAUAACAAAUAGAAACUCGAAACGAAUAAAAAUUUUACGCUAAAAAAAUGUAAAAAGGUGCAAAUUUUUACGGUUUUUAAUUAUUUUCUAUGGUAAUAAAAGGUCUAUAUCGAUUAGGCUUAACUGGUGGUGGGUGGAACCGGCUGGCAGCCGGGCUAAUCAGAUAAAUAAUCAUGAUAGUUUCAUAGGGGCCCCCAACAUAUUUCAUUCCCAAAUUUUUAAAAAUAUCAUCCUGCAAAUCACAGGCUAUUUGGAGAAAAAUGCGUGGGCUGCCAAAGCAUAUUUGAAAUAGAAAAUAAAAGUUAAAAUGUAGUGAGCGAGAUUUAAAUUGUACAAAUGAAUAGCCACACCAGCAGUUCUAAGCAGGACUGUGGAGUCGGAAGAAAAAUGACCGACUCCGACUUCGGGAAUUUUAGAGCCUUCGAUUCCGAUUCCACAAGAACUGGCAGGGUUGCAGAUUUUAAGGGAAAAUGAUCGACCCCGACUAUUGAACUUUUAAACUUUCGACUCCUGACUCCAACUACUUUACCUCAAAAUCAGUCCGACUCUAACUUCUCAGCCUUGGUUCUAAGUUUUUGAAUGUACAAAACAAAAGUAGUGUGUGUGCUUUGUGUAGUCAAAAAAAAAAAAACUUGAUAAUAUGGUCAGCACCAUGCUAAACUUAAUAAACAAAGGAAGGUGAAAAAUCGGGAAUCUCGUUUUUCAAAUUCAAUGGUUUGCUGCAGUACUCAAGAAAGGCUAGUACUACUUCAAACAAUGUUUUACUCUUAUAGUUAUCUAUAAAAAUUAAAACAUUGAAAAUAACUAAACACAACAAACUUCUUAAGUAUCAAAGUGAUUAACAUUAUUGCACCAAUUUCUUUUGUGUAAGGUUCUUUCUUUUUUUUUUUUUUUAAAUUAACUAUAUACCUACCUUUUUAUAUUUUUAAAAUUUUUUGAAGCACUUUUCAUAAUUCCAAAAUGCAUAACCAUUACUUUCAAAUUUUAAGUUUGCAUUCACUUUCCAGACCAAGAGGAAAAAGUGUAAAUUCUAAGUCUUAUUCCAAAAUUUCCCUACAUGGAACUUUUUUGCAGAUCUACGAAGUCGGAGGGAAAAUGGCCGACUCCAAUUUCAAAAAUUUUAGAGCAUUCAACUCCGACUCCUUUGCCCUAACAUCAGUUCAACUCCAACUCUCACUCCGACCUUGCGAUCACUGGCAGUGUUAUUGAGGGAAAAUGACUCCGACUCUUGGAAUUAUUAACCUACAAAUUCCGACUCAGACUCCUUCUCUCCAAAAUCAAUCUGACUCCAACUCCGCAGUACUGCUUUUUUACACUAUUUUAGCACUUGAAAAAAAGCAUAUUAAAAAAAUAGAACAUAACUUGCGAAAAAAAAAAAAUUUAAAAAAUAAAUAAAUAAAAUAAACAAGAUUGAGUCUGGUACCAGUCUAUAAGUUGGUUUGAUCAAUCUCAAAGGAGCAAUGUUGACUUUUGAAUUAGACCUGGUCUGAUCAAAUAAUUACAGCGAUCUGGGCUAAGCGCAGCUUUUUGCAGGUUUCACUUUAAGUUAGAAACAUGAGUUUCAACUACAUGAUAACAUCUGAAAAAAUGAAAUUUGGAAGCAAAAUGUAUAGUUUCAAUUACCUUUAACAAAUGAUUUAUUUAUUUAUUUAAUUUUGCCUUUUCCAAAAGGUUCGCCCCUCCCCCUCCUCCAGACAUUAUUCUCAGAAAGAACCCAAACCCGAUUCAUUACCAACCCGACGUUUAAUAAUCCAAUGAUUGUUUAGUUAUGCCAAACCAGAUGUUUAGUAAAUCAUUCUCAUUUUUUCUUCAUUCCCAGCAAAACUAUUAUGCAGCCAACAAACAAGAUCAAUAUAAAUUUUUGAGAAAAAUUUAUUUAAAAUGUUAAAUAUCUAUUUGCUUUUAUUACAUUAGUCAAAAGAAUGUUUUUCUUGCGUUUAGCAUUUGCCGACAAGACAUCAUUGCACUAAAAAAUUAAAACAUUAAAUGUACUUUAGUACACUUCCUUGUAUGAUUUAAAAGAAUUGUUUACUCAUCGAUAUGUUUUGUUGCAGAAUAAUCCAACAAUACUCAGAUAAAUUGUAAAUAACUAUAGUAAUAACUUACUUGCAACUUCAGAGUGAAAAUAAAAGAUAAUAUUGCAGUUAUUUACUCAGAGAAGUACUUUAAAAUGCAUCAAUGACUGUGUCUGCACAUUUGACAUGCUGAAGAUCUGUUUAGCGAAUGUAAUAGAAAAGGGAAAAUCUCCGAAGCAUGUUUUUUCUCCAAUGACAUCCCCACCCCCCUCCUUAACUUGUCUCGUCCUGGCUGUUGUCAUUCGGCACAUGUUUGUCUCGUAACCCGAUAACCAGAUGAUGACGCCUUAGGUCUGAUCGGAAGUCACCACUACAUUCGGCAGGGACGGGGAUGGUCAGGGGGGAUUGUACUCUUAUAGUCUCGGUCAACGCACUGAGGUGUCGAAACCAACUCAUCGAUAAACAGAACUUUCAAGGAUGAAGACACACCAUUUCCCCUGUAGCAAUAGCUGUCCCUUAUUUUGUCACUAUCUGGACGACGUUAAAAGGGACUUACAGACUCGGGCUAAAUUGCGGGUGACAAAGUGGGUGGCCCCAAAAGGGAUUGAUUUUUUUUUUAUUUAUAUAUAAGAUACUUCUACUUUUUACUGCUAAUUUUUUUUCAAGUUCAUAUUCGAGAAAAUUUUUAUCACUUACGAUAAGCGCCAAAGCAAACAGAUUCCCUGAGGAAAUACAAAAUUUUCCACGGGUGGGGGGGGGGGCAAGACGUUUCCGGCAGGGGGGCAAUUUCCCUCCCUGCCCCUUCCUAGGAGCCACAUCUGUGUCUGGGGAACAUCAGGCUAGAAGGUUAGUGCAAAAAUUUAAAAGAAAAAAAAAAUAUUUAUGAAAAAACUUGAAAUUGAAGCAUUACACAUUUUAUGUGUCAAAUCUAUCAGAUCACAUAGAAUUAAAAAGUUCAAAAUUAUAAAGAUACUUCUUCAAAAAUUAUUUCCUUUAUUUGAAAUUGUGAUAAUUAAAAAAAAUAUAUAUACAAGGUACUUUGUUGUGUUUUAUUUCAUUAGAAAGAACAUAAUUUAUGUCUUCAAAUGUAAAUUGUUGAGGAAGUUGAUAUAUAAAAAAGUUUUAUGGUGUUAUUGCAUUAAAAUGUUUUAAAUUAUCACGACCUACUGACUGAAUUCACAAAUAACAAAAUUAUUGUUUGAUUACUGAGUGAAAGUAUAUUCCGUUAAAACAUCAUUAGUAAUUUCCUGCUUUUUUAAUUGAAUUGUUUUGGUUCAGUUAAUAUUAAAAUAUCCAAUUCCUUUAAUCCUUCGUAACUCGAAACUUCUCAGUUUUGUGUUGUUAGUUAUAAACUGGUGUUUAAAGGAAAUUAAUGUAAACUUAUUAUGUUGUCAAAUGACAACAGAAUAAGUUUACAUUAAUAAGGUAGUGCAAAACUAAACAAUUGAUUUGAGUGUACCAUACUGUUGAAGUGAAGGAUUGCAUAAAGAUUAACUCUUUGUUUCUUUGUGUUGCUCAAAAGCAACAUGUUUCAUUACCUCUUAUGGGAUAAUGACUGUUAUUUGCCAAAGUUCAAAUAAAACUUUAAAAUUUUUGUAUUUUAAGUAUUGUAAUUAAUUCAAGCUUUAAAAAAGUUCUUUAUUUCAUAAGAACAUGUAAAUAUAGUUUACAUACCCUACUUUGUACAAAUGAAAUUUUUUUGACUCUGAUUCUUUUAACAUUUGCCAAUUAAAAGGUAAAUAUUUCAGUUGUUUUGCAUUUGCUUUAAGUUUUGAUUAUAAAAAUAAUUUUCAUCUUUUUAUUUUAAAAGUUACUUUUCUCACAAAGUAUUAAAUUAUGAAGUUUAAAGUCAUGAAAAUAAAGUUUGGUUUUGUAGUGCAAAAGUUCAUGCUGUUGUUUAUACUUUAAUGUGUUUUUGUAAGUUAUAAUCAUGUUCCAUUUUUUUUUUUUAACCCACAUACAAUUGUGAUAUAAUUCUUGUGAUAUUUUCAAACUGUGCCAAAAAUUCAUCCAUUUCUUAGAACAAGUUUUUAACAAUAAAAACAACUUGCUUUUAUUUUAGUGGUUCUACUCUUGUUUUAAUUUUUUUUUUCAAAUUUUAUAUUAUCAAAAUUUUAUUACUCAUCAAAAAAGAAAAAAAAAAUUUCAAAGGUGCCAAAAAAUGUAGAAAUUUUACUAUUUGGCAUUAUAUGAAUGAUUUAUAAUAUUCUAAGUUUUAUAAUUUAACUUCCAAUGGUGAAAAAUGUUACAAGAUUAAAUAUUGAAUGGUAGCAACAUUUUAGGAAAAAGUUUUAUGAAUACUUAUUAUGAGAUUUCAUGUAUUUACUGGUUCACUGAUGUUAAAAAACAAACAAACACAUAAAUGUUAAUUUUUUGGUUUAAAAAUAUUGUUGUAAAUUUUAUUGUGAUUAUUGUAUGUUAUUGGGUUUUAAUUUAUUUCAUUAAGGAUUUCACAAUAAAAAGUGUAUGACAUUUUACAUGCCAAUGUAUCUGUAAAAAAAUGCUACUGAAAAUUCUGUUUUGUAGUAUCUGAUGAUACUGCAAAAAAAAAAAAAAAAAAAAAAAGA